AGGUCUUCUGUGAGGAUAUUUUGAAAUAUUUUCAGACGAACAAUUUAGGACUUCAAAUAAUUUCAGAUUUUCUUCAGAUUUCUAGUAUAAUAUUCAGAAAAAACACACUGGAUGGAUAUUGGAUGCCUUGCAGCAAAACUCUCAUUAAACCCAGGAUCCCGUGAUAUGCACUACAAUGGCUGAAUUAUUGCUUCGAAGAGAAUAUUAUACUAAAACUUCACUGCAUCACGAUCCUCAGGGACUUUGCUAUAGAAUUACUUGUAAAUGGAACCAUUUUAUAAAAACAUCCUUCCGAAGCUUCAGGAUUUCACAGAAUUGGGCGGUGGCUGAGUAAUGCGUUGCCCUGAAACUGAUAAGCCGGAAGACCGAAGAAGUUUCAAGGAAGUCAGUCAGAAGUCUUGCAAAGAAGGCAGCCAUCAGGGUACGGUACUGGAGCUUUUCAUGAGCAAUUUUUAUUUCUGGGAGCUGGCGAGACUUCACCCCCUCUCCUAUCUCUUUCUGCUGAGAA